rnacentral:tRNA from 1 species
CAAAGUGUAGCUUAAACAAAAGCACCUAGCAGCCUUUUAGACACAGGAUACAACCUCUAUUA